rnacentral:rRNA from 1 species
UAAUGAAUAGUUGUAGCUAAAAUUUUGUUUGUUGUUCAUAAUUAAUUUGAGAAGUAAUUGGCGGUAUUUAAUUAAAUUCUGAGGAACCUGUUUAUUUAAAUUGAUAGUACACAUUAAAUUUUAUCUAUAAAUUAUUUUAUGUAUUGCUGUUUAAUUUAUUAUUUAUUAUUUAAAAUGAAUUAAAUUAAUAAUACAAUAAGAAAUUCAAGUCAAAAUGUAGAUUUUAUAGGGUUAAAUGGGUUACUUUUGUAUUGAAAUACGGAACUGUAAAGUUGAUUGAAAUAUUAAUGAAGUAAGGUUGGAUUAGGGAGUAAAAAGAAAAUAAUUAGUUUUUUUGAUAAUUUUAUAUUAAUAUGU